rnacentral:rRNA from 1 species
UGGGGAAUAUUGGACAAUGGGGGGAACCCUGAUCCAGCCAUGCCGCGUGUGUAAAGAAGGCCUUAUGGUUGUAAAGCACUUUAAGCGAGGAGGAGGGUACUGGUAUUAAUACUACCAGCUACUGGACGUUACUCGCAGAAUAAGCACCGGCUAACUCUGUGCCAGCAGCCGCGGUAAUACAGAGGGUGCGAGCGUUAAUCGGAUUUACUGGGCGUAAAGCGUGCGUAGGCGGCUAAUUGAGUCGGAUGUGAAAUCCCUGAGCUUAACUUAGGAAUUGCAUUCGAUACUGGUCAGCUAGAGUAUGGGAGAGGAUGGUAGAAUUCCAGGUGUAGCGGUGAAAUGCGUAGAGAUCUGGAGGAAUACCGAUGGCGAAGGCAGCCAUCUGGCCUAAUACUGACGCUGAGGUACGAAAGCAUGGGGAGCAAACAGG